UACGUAGGUGGCAAGCGUUGUCCGGAAUUACUGGGUGUAAAGGGAGCGCAGGCGGGAAGCCAAGUCAGCUGUGAAAACUACGGGCUUAACUCGUAGACUGCAGUUGAAACUGGUUUUCUUGAGUGAAGUAGAGGUUGGCGGAAUUCCGAGUGUAGCGGUGAAAUGCGUAGAUAUUCGGAGGAACACCGGUGGCGAAGGCGGCCAACUGGGCUUUAACUGACGCUGAGGCUCGAAAGUGUGGGGAGCAAACAGG
rnacentral:rRNA from 1 species